CCUUAAUUGCCAGAAAUUAUUGCUAAUUUAAUAGUAGGCCUAGUAUCACUGUUGCUUAUAAUGAGUUUUCAAUAUUCCUCAAGGGAGGAGAGGAAAAGCUUUAGAGAGAAUUGUAAGCAAACUUAACCUACUGUAAUCUAAGGUCUUUAUUAAAUUGGCAACGUAUUUUAAAACCAAUGCUUUUCUCUCUUUUAUAGCCUGAAGUGUAGAUGAAUAAGAGCAUCAGUUUCUAUAUCUCAUUGGUAUUAUCCAUUAAACAUAUUGUCUAUACCAACUAUUGAAUUCAGGUUUCAGAUAGAUUCAGAAAUCCAAACAAGAGUUGUCUGGAAAGUGUCCAAGAAAUUUCUCUCCUCCUCAGAUUGGCUGCAUGCGGAUGUAGAUGGCAGAAACCUUCUCUUUAACACUGAGGCCAGAGGAGUGCAGGCCAGGGUGUAGCGGUUUUGGUGGGACCAGGCUGAAUCAUUACGGACUUCAUAGUUGUGUGCACUUCAUGUUAUAAAGCCCAGUA
rnacentral:lncRNA from 1 species